AUGGACCAGCUGGUGAAUUUCAUCAUCCGCCCGCCCAGAGCUGACUACAGUCCAGACGAUGAUCUACUGGAGCAGGAGUUUAUGCUCAAGGGAAGAUGGUUUCAGAGGAAGGAUCUGGAGGUAGUAAAUAGCCAGGGCAAGAAGUUGCAGUGUAGCCACUACAUACCUGCUGUGAUUCCUGAAGGAACAGCACUUCCUUGUGUUAUAUACUGUCAUGGAAAUAGUGGAUGCAGAGCUGAUGCUAGUGAAGCUGCCAUUAUUCUUCUACCAUCAAAUAUUACAGUCUUUACACUGGACUUUUCAGGGUCUGGUCUCUCUGAAGGAGAGCAUGUCACCUUGGGCUGGAAUGAAAAAGAAGAUCUGAAAGCUGUUGUUAAUUAUUUGCGGACAGAUGGGAACAUAUCUUGCAUUGCUCUGUGGGGCCGCUCAAUGGGUGCGGUCACAAGUCUAAUGUAUGGAGCGGAGGAUCCAUCAAUUGCUGGAAUGGUUCUUGAUAGUCCAUUCUCUAACCUUGUUGACUUGAUGAUGGAACUAGUUGAUACCUACAAAUACCCCUUGCCAAAAUUCACGGUAAAACUUGCAAUACAGCACAUGCGGAAGAUUGUCAAGAAAAAAGCCAGCUUUGACAUCAUGGAUCUUGAUACCAUUCAGGUAGCAAAGCGAUGUUUUGUUCCUGCUUUGUUUGGACAUGCAACUGAGGAUGAUUUUAUACUCCCGCAUCAUUCAGACAAAAUUUGUGAAGCAUAUGUUGGAGACAAAAACAUUAUAAAAUUUGACGGGGACCACAAUUCACCCCGACCACAAUUUUACUUUGACUCGAUCACAAUAUUUUUUCAUAAUGUGCUGAACCCACCUGAUGUCCCUGACGAUCAUUAUUUCCUGACACCACAUGGCAGCCUUGGUCAGUCCCGAAGAGAAGAAAUGGAGACAAGCCUACAUAUCGGUCCUCGGAAAGCCAAACAGGGUCACUGGGAUACAGAACAUGAUAUAGAGUAUAGAAUUGCUCAAUCACCAACAGCCCCUUCAACCACGACAGAAGAUGCCAUUGCACAGUUGCGUUCUAGAAGGCUCAUGAGCAGAAUGGAGGUCCCAUCUGGAACCGCCACAAAAGGCAGGGCCGACAGAACUGAGGUAUUGGAUAGUGAUGUUGGCCCCUCCUCAUCUAGUGCAUCUACUGCGACUCCUCCCAAUGGCCGUAAUGGAAGGAUGCUCACUCCAACCUCUGAUGAUGGCGAGUAUGUGGAGUAUUCAUUUGAUAGCGUAUCAGAUAUGCCUUACACUGAGGAAGAUGAAGAUAGAAUGCUGAUGCAAGCAAUUCUUGAGUCCCUGAAGGAUUUAGACAAGUCAAAUACAAAGAACACUCAAUCAGCUGUAUCUGAUGUUGCUUCCAAAGAAAAUAGUGUAGCACCUGAUGUAGUGGCAUUGGAGACAGAUGCAUCCUCCUUCUCUGUGCGUGGUGCUGAUGCUCCUGGUAAGGAUGUAGCAGCCUGUAACAGUGUAGCAAAGACGUCUAGUGUGCAAAGUGCAGAUCGCUGCACUGUAAAUGUUGCUGUUUCUGCUAAUGUUUCUGGCGCAUCAGAAUCCAACGGCUCAACUCAGGUCAUCAAUGGAAAAUCUGGCUCGGCAGAAUCCCAGAAAACCACUCAGGACAUGAAUGGGAAAUUUGGCUCGGCAGAACCCCAGAAACCCACCCAGAACCCCAAUGGAGAGGAUGGCACAAGAGCAACACUUGUAGUCCAGAAGAGCCGGACUGGCAGCCUGAUUGAUGGAUUGACACAAAAAUGGGGUUCGUUCUUCAAGAACAAUGACUGA
rnacentral:rRNA from 1 species